GAGUUUGAUCAUUCCUCAGAUUGAACGCUGGCGGCAGGCCUAACACAUGCAAGUCGAGCGGUAGAGAGGUGCUUGCACCUCUUGAGAGCGGCGGACGGGUGAGUAAUGCCUAGGAAUCUGCCUGGUAGUGGGGGAUAACGCUCGGAAACGGACGCUAAUACCGCAUACGUCCUACGGGAGAAAGCAGGGGACCUUCGGGCCUUGCGCUAUCAGAUGAGCCUAGGUCGGAUUAGCUAGUUGGUGGGGUAAUGGCUCACCAAGGCGACGAUCCGUAACUGGUCUGAGAGGAUGAUCAGUCACACUGGAACUGAGACACGGUCCAGACUCCUACGGGAGGCAGCAGUGGGGAAUAUUGGACAAUGGGCGAAAGCCUGAUCCAGCCAUGCCGCGUGUGUGAAGAAGGUCUUCGGAUUGUAAAGCACUUUAAGUUGGGAGGAAGGGCAUUAACCUAAUACGUUGGUGUCUUGACGUUACCGACAGAAUAAGCACCGGCUAACUCUGUGCCAGCAGCCGCGGUAAUACAGAGGGUGCAAGCGUUAAUCGGAAUUACUGGGCGUAAAGCGCGCGUAGGUGGUUCGUUAAGUUGGAUGUGAAAUCCCCGGGCUCAACCUGGGAACUGCAUUCAAAACUGUCGAGCUAGAGUAUGGUAGAGGGUGGUGGAAUUUCCUGUGUAGCGGUGAAAUGCGUAGAUAUAGGAAGGAACACCAGUGGCGAAGGCGACCACCUGGACUGAUACUGACACUGAGGUGCGAAAGCGU
rnacentral:rRNA from 1 species